CCUAACACAUGCAAGUCGAACGGUAACAGGAAGCAGCUUGCUGCUUCGCUGACGAGUGGCGGACGGGUGAGUAAUGUCUGGGAAGCUGCCUGAUGGAGGGGGAUAACUACUGGAAACGGUAGCUAAUACCGCAUAACGUCGCAAGACCAAAGAGGGGGACCUUCGGGCCUCUUGCCAUCGGAUGUGCCCAGAUGGGAUUAGCUAGUAGGUGGGGUAACGGCUCACCUAGGCGACGAUCCCUAGCUGGUCUGAGAGGAUGACCAGCCACACUGGAACUGAGACACGGUCCAGACUCCUACGGGAGGCAGCAGUGGGGAAUAUUGCACAAUGGGCGCAAGCCUGAUGCAGCCAUGCCGCGUGUAUGAAGAAGGCCUUCGGGUUGU
rnacentral:rRNA from 1 species